GAAAACAAGAAGAUUAGCAUCCGAUAAAAUUGGAACGAUACAGAGAAGAUUAGCAUGGCCCCUGCGCAAGGAUGACAUACACAAAUUGAGAAAUGGUAUCAAAGUAG
rnacentral:snRNA from 1 species